UCUGGUGCCAGCAGCCGCGGUAAUUCCAGCUCCAAUAGCGUAUAUUAAAGUUGUUGCAGUUAAAAAGCUCGUAGUUGGAUUUCUGUUAAUAAUUUAUAUAAAAUAUUUUAAUUAAUAUUUAUAUAAUAUUAACAUAAUUCAUAUUACUAUAAUUAUUUUUUAGUAUAUGAAAUUUUACUUUGAGAAAAUUAGAGUGCUUAAAGCAGGCAUAUGCCUUGAAUACUCCAGCAUGGAAUAAUAUUAAAGAUUUUUAUCUUUCUUAUUGGUUCUAAGAUAAGAAUAAUGAUUAAUAGGGACAGUUGGGGGCAUUUGUAUUUAACAGUCAGAGGUGAAAUUCUUAGAUUUGUUAAAGACAAACUAAUGCGAAAGCAUUUGCCAAGGAUGUUUUCAUUAAUCAAGAACGAAAGUUAGGGGAUCGAAGACGAUCAGAUACCGUCGUAGUCUUAACCAUAAACUAUGCCAACUAGAGAUUGGAGGUUGUUCCUUACUCCUUC
rnacentral:rRNA from 1 species